rnacentral:rRNA from 1 species
UCCACUUCGGGAGGGGCCUGCGUCCCAUCAGCUAGUUGGUAGGGUAAAAGCCUACCAAGGCGAUGACGGGUAGGGGACCUGAGAGGGUGACCCCCCACACUGGAACUGAAACACGGUCCAGACACCUACGGGUGGCAGCAGUAGGGAAUAUUGCUUAAUGGGCGAAAGCCUGAAGCAGCAACGCCGCGUGUGCGAUGAAGGUCUUCGGAUUGUAAAGCACUUUUUGAGGGGAUGAGGAAGGACAGUACCCUCAGAAUAAGCCUCGGCUAACUACGUGCCAGCAGCCGCGGUAAAACGUAGGAGGCAAGCGUUAUCCGGAUUUACUGGGCGUAAAGCGCGUGUAGGCGGCGCGGUAAGUUGGAUGUGAAAGCUCCCGGCUUAACUGGGAGAGGUCGUUCAAUACUGUCGUGCUAGAGGAUGGGAGAGGGAGGUGGAAUUCCGGGUGUAGUGGUGAAAUGCGUAGAUAUCCGGAGGAACACCAGUGGCGAAGGCGACCUCCUGGCCCAUUUCUGACGCUCAGACGCGAAAGCUAGGGGAGCGAACGGGAUUAGAGACCCCGGUAGUCCUAGCUGUAAACGAUGUAGACUUGGCGUUGGUGGGGUAAAAUCCAUCAGUGCCGAAGCAAACGCGAUAAGUCUACCGCCUGGGGACUACGGCCGCAAGGCUAAAACUCAAAAGAAUUGACGGGGGCCCGCACAAGCAGCGGAGCGUGUGGUUUAAUUCGAUGCUACACGAAGAACCUUACCAGGGUUUGACAUGUUGGUUGUAGGAAACUGAAAAGGGACCGACCCUUCGGGGAGCCAUCACAGGUGCUGCAUGGCUGUCGUCAGCUCGUGUCGUGAGAUGUUCGGUUAAGUCCGCUAACGAGCGCAACCCUCGCCGUGUGUUAUAUGUGUCACACGGGACCGCCGGUCAUAAACCGGAGGAAGGUGAGGAUGACGUCAAGUCAGCAUGGCCUUUAUAUCCUGGGCUACACACACGCUACAAUGGCCAGCACAAUAGGUAGCGAAGUCGCGAGGCGGAGCCAAUCCCUAAAGUUGGCCUCAGUUCAGAUUGUAGGCUGCAACCCGCCUGCAUGAAGUCGGAGUUGCUAGUAACCGCAGGUCAGCAAUACUG